UUAAUUAAAACCAAAAUAGAGGUAAAUUAUUGUUAAUAAUUUUAAUGAAUUUUUUUAAUUCUAAUUAAA
rnacentral:tRNA from 1 species